AAUAUACAGUUGAAAGUAACUCUCCCUCUUCCUAACUUCCAACUAGCCAGUUUCCUUCCUCAGCUGCAUCCACACUUGCUGGAUUCCUACGCUGCAGGAGAUAGUGCGUCCGUGUCUGUCUGCACCUGGAUGGCAUCACCUCCAAGCAGAAGCACUCCCACCCCACCUCUCCACCUUGAGGACGCCAUCUGGAGGGGCACUUCCUUCGUAUUUUGAGGCAUCAACAGAGCUAUCGUUUGCAAGCUACAUGUGUCAGAGACCCUGAAGACAAACCAGAUGUUGACCAGAAGAUACAGUGUGAGGAAUAAAAAUGCUUACUCACUCACCUCCACUGUUACACAGAAAAUGGAAGCUGGAGCCAGAAAGAGGAAUAGAGAUACGAGAGCUGGUUAAAAUGAAGCGAUUCAGUCAAGAUACGUGUGGCGCACAUGAUCCUGCAGAGGUGGAAGCCCACGCCAAGAUAUUCUGGCACACCUAUCCUGACUUCCAUGUUACACAGAAAGUUGUCAGCCUGGGUGAAGAAGGAACCAGGACACCCAACUCAUCUGACUGAAAAACAAAACACCACAAGAGGAAUCCCAGGACCUAACCAAAAGAUAAUCUAGACUACAGUAACAGAAGGGAUUCAGUGUUAAUGUCCUUGAAUUAAGAGUUUCCUCCAGAGAAUAGAGAUACAAAUAAUGACUAUUAAUGACCAUUAAACCUUAAUGUGCACAUAAGAAACACUUGGACUACAAGCUCUUAUCAAU